UACGUAGGGUGCAAGCGUUGUCCGGAAUUAUUGGGCGUAAAGAGCUCGUAGGCGGUUCGUCGCGUCGGCUGUGAAAUCCCGGAGCUCAACUCCGGGUCUGCAGUCGAUACGGGCGGACUUGAGUACUGCAGGGGAGACUGGAAUUCCUGGUGUAGCGGUGAAAUGCGCAGAUAUCAGGAGGAACACCAAUGGCGAAGGCAGCACUCUGGGACGGUACUGACGCUGAGACGCGAAAGCGUGGGGAGCAAACAGG
rnacentral:rRNA from 1 species